UACAGAGGUGGCAAGCGUUUGUUCGGAAUUACUGGGCGUAAAGGGCGCGUAGGCGGCCUACUAAGUCAGACGUGAAAUCCCUCGGCUCAACCGGGGAACUGCGUCUGAUACUGGGUGGCUUGAAUCCGGGAGAGGGAUGCGGAAUUCCAGGUGUAGCGGUGAAAUGCGUAGAUAUCUGGAGGAACACCGGUGGCGAAGGCGGCAUCCUGGACCGGCAUUGACGCUGAGGCGCGAAAGCCAGGGGAGCAAACGGG
rnacentral:rRNA from 1 species